rnacentral:rRNA from 1 species
ACAGAGGUCCCAAGCGUUGUUCGGAUUCACUGGGCGUAAAGGGUGCGUAGGCGGUCAGGUAAGUCUGAUGUGAAAGCUUCGAGCUCAACUCGGAAAUGGCAUCGGAAACUGCUUGGCUAGAGGAAUGGAAGGGGGAUUGGAAUUCUCGGUGUAGCAGUGAAAUGCGUAGAUAUCGAGAGGAACACCCGUGGCGAAGGCAAAUCCCUGGACAUUUCCUGACGCUGAGGCACGAAAGCUAGGGGAGCAAACAG